AUGUUUGUUUGUUUUGUGGGCUCUCUUCUAAACACGACCACACCUGCACUCGGCUCCUCCUCCCUCACUCUUCGUCUCCUAAAGCCUCCGACCACCGUAACGGCAUUGGGCUUUCGAGUAGUGUAGUCUCCGAUUGUAUUUAUGUGCUACAUUAGUGGUGGGUUUAUCAAAGGCAACAUCACUUCUCCACUUAUUCAUCGUUUACUCUCCUUUUCAAUUAGUAAUCGAAUGAAGGAUUCAGUUGUUGAGAUCCUAAAGAAUCUGAGAGGAUUUUAAUUUACGCCAGCGACAAAUUCAGAGACGGAGGAUUUGCUGGGAUGUAAAGAAGGUGAGGUAGAGGAGAAGAGAGAACGCCGGAGGGAGUGAUAUUGGUUGUGAAUCUAUCUGGCGGCGAUGAAGUAGGGGACAGAGAUGAUUGCGAUAGUGGCAGUAAAUUGUCAAAGAGUAAUACUGAACAGAUUUUGCCAUGUCUGCACCUGCUAAGAAAAAGUUACACAGAAGCUAAGGAGAAAGAUCUAAUGCUUGGGAUAUGGGUUUCGACUUGGGUGGAGUUUUUGGCAAAUUAUCAUCAUUUAAAAUGGGCAUAUCGGACUUUGAUUUCUCAAGCCCAGUCAAGAAAACCACAAAGACGAAAGAAAGGUUAGGCGACUUUGAACUUCAUUCAAGCCCACGGAAGAAGGCAAACGAGAGUACGAUGACCAAGUCCAUAGAUUCCAAACUCCAAAGAGUUCACUGCUACAAGAAGAAUUGAUAAGUCUGACUCUUUGGACUUUGGUCCAGACUUACCAACAACUAGACAAGCGGCCUCCAGGAGUCCAGAGACAUAUACCUAUGUCAAGGAAAAUAAUUCAGCUGAAGACGUCUACAGAGAGUAUGAGCAGCACACACUGGAAACAAGCUGAUAGUAUUUGCAUUGCAUCAUCGAAUCAAGCUCCAAUAGAGCAUGAAAAUUUCUGAGGAGGUGGAAUCACCUCAACAUCAUACGAUGAGAGCCUCACGAGUUCACCAUUGAUUAUACCGUCUCUAAUGGUUGAAGAAAAUAGACAGCAUCACCUCGCCAUUACAUUCUUCUGAGACUGUACAUACUGCAGGAAGUAGAGAAACCAUUCUAUGAAAUAUGUAGUUCUGCUGCGAAAGAAUAUUCUCCUAGGGAUCCAAAACAGAUUGCCAACAAUAAAAAGAUUUCCACCACGAGAUCAGGUUAUGAAGCAACAAGUACAAAUACACCAUCUUCCAGCGAUGAACAGCACAACUCACCGUAACGUCUCCCUUCUCCUCCACAGCACAACUCACUGUAACGUCUCCCUUCUCUGUUUCUGGGAAGCUAGGAAUUCCAAGAAAGGUGGAAAGUUUAUGGGGAUCGAUAUAGUUCUGGUAGAUGAGAAGGAUGCGGUCUACGAUGAUCCAGUGAUCGAUUAGCGCCCACCGCGUUGAACACGUUCCAAUGCGAGAGGGAGGUAGUAAUGAGCUGAGUUCAUUUGAUGUGACAGAGAGAAAUCAGUACUCUCAAAGAGCCAGAAAAUCAUGGCAAGCUCAAGCUCGGCUCUUAUGAGGGUACUAUGUUUCUUGAUUAGUUAGACGGACUUAGCUGAAGCUAUUGGUGCUUCCCUCCUUCAGUCAAUAAGUGAUUACAUAUCUGACUUUGAUAUCUUUAUGAUCAUCGGUACGUCUGCUUGAAAUUACGGACUUUCUCUUUAUGCUUUCGUAUCAACAAAACCAACAAACGUGGUUGAUGCUUGCGGUGUGAACAAAUCACUGACGAAUGUGGCUUUAAAGAAGGUCAUAACGUGAUCAAUGAUCAUAGAAGAGCUGGAGUUGGUGUGGCAUGACUCAACCAAUGGCUCGAUCAAGACUAUGACACUCAGUUAGAUAGCCUCAAUGGAAAUGAACCAUCUUAGUUCUCUUGUGGAGUGUUUCUUAUACUGACCCUAGAAGUGAAUCAGGUGUCUUUUCCAGUCAAUGAUUACCCAACAAGUUUCAGAUCACUGAAUCAAUUUAUAUAUAUGUUUUUCCUACAAAAAUGUAUAUAUGCCUAAAUAGAACAGUUCAGCUAGAAAUAAACUAAAUAAAUUUUGUUUUCAUUUUUUUUUAAUUUGACAUGUGUUAUGGUCAGCGGUUGAUAAGACUUUAAGGGGGUUUCUUAUCUUCCAAUUUUCAGUUUCAUUUGCAUAUUGUUUUUGAUUUUCAUUUAAAUUUUAAAAAAUAUAUAUAAAUGUUUUUUUUUCA